UGCAGACUAGUGUUGGGCAGGUGCUGUGCAUAAGUUUAAGAUAGAGGUGGGGCCAUCAGGUCAUACCUAUUCAUAGUAGGAUGCCGAUAUCAGAGCAUCUUCUGCAUACAAGAAAAUGGCUUCUCAAAUUCUAGAUAUUCGUAGGCUUUAUCACUUAUGUCUCAGACCAUCACACCACUUCUCAAUUGAAAAACUUUCUCAAGAUCAUCAUAUAUGUAGACUUUCUGCAUGGCUGGCAUUGUUUUAACCAAUCAGGCACUCUUCAGAAAUGGUUUUUCAUGGGGCAUAUGCCUGAACCUUUCUCACACAUUUAGCUUUAUGUGAAAAAUGUGUGCAACACAUUUCACGAGAUUUGGCUUGUCCUUUUAUCACAGUGGUUUCCUGGUACUUCUAUGUUCUACUGUGAACAGCUUGAGGUGUAUUAAAACUCCAGUUAAAGGACAUACUAUGCAAACAUCAUCAGGUCAGAACCUCAUUGCUUAUCAAAUGAACAGAUUGAAGUACUCUCCCCGUUCUCCCAUGCACCUCUCCAGUGAUCUCUUGACUACUAGAACAUUGUUGCAGUGUUUUGACCAUCACAAGUUCAUGGAGGUGAAUUCAAGCAAGCCAUUGUGGCAUUGCCCUUGGCUACAUUGACUUACGGAUUGAUCAAAAUAUGCUACACUGCUGUAACCGCUUAAGCUACUACCGUUGAGAUAGGGGAUGAUACCUGGCGCUCAGGAAUUGGUCAUCAGCUUCUACCUCAAAUGGAUCGAUAGCUUCCACCGCUCUGCCUGAUUCUAGUAUUGAUGGAACCUUGGGCAGUUUCUUAUGCCCGUAAUUGAGAGCUUGCUUCUAGUCAUGAAUUCUUUCGACCAACGUUGCCACUAUGACUGAGAAGCCGUGAAUACCUAGAACUAUCUGCAGAACUUCCGUGGCAGUUCAGGCCCCUGCCAGGUAGGUAAGCAGCUCAACUUACAGGACAAGCUAACGUACUCCCAACAUCACAUCCAGUAGCAACCACUCCACUGCGCUCAAUGACAGGAAUGUGAAGAAACCUUCGUGAGAUAAAUCCAAUGCGAAAAAUUACCAAUUUAUAAAUUUGUAUUCCGCAAUAUGCGUUGCGUAACUUUUAUAGGAUG